rnacentral:rRNA from 1 species
UACGGGGGGGGCAAGCGUUGUUCGGAAUUACUGGGCGUAAAGGGCUCGUAGGCGGCCAACUAAGUCGGAUGUGAAAUCCCUCGGCUCAACUGAGGAAGUGCACUCGAUACUGCAGAGCUAGAGUACCGGAGAGGGUGGUGGAAUUCCUGGUGUAGAGGUGAAAUUCGUAGAUAUCAGGAGGAACACCGGCGGCGAAGGCGGCCACCUGGACGGAUACUGACGCUCAUGUGCGAAAGCGUGGGGAGCAAACAGG